rnacentral:rRNA from 1 species
UACGUAGGGGGCGAGCGUUGUCCGAAUUUACUGGGCGUAAAGCGCGCGUAGGCGGGUUAUUAAGUUGGUGGUGAAAUCCCGGGGCUCAACCCCGGAACUGCCUCCAAAACUGGUAGCCUUGAGGUAUGGAGAGGGAAGUGGAAUUCCUGGUGUAGCGGUGAAAUGCGUAGAUAUCAGGAGGAACACCCGUGGCGAAGGCGGCUUCCUGGCCAUAUCCUGACGCUGAGGUGCGAAAGCUAGGGGAGCGAACGGG